UGACCAUACACUAUUUCUGCCAGGUGCUCUGGUGGCCUGAAAAUGUCUGAAUAGUGGUGUGUUGUGAUGUCCAUUGAGUGGGUGCAUUCAUUAACUUGUUUGUGAGUCAAGUCGAAUCAAAUUGCUUUCUACUGUGAAUACAGAUUACCAAGCAAGGAGAAUACAAUUCCGAAUUGAAAUGGGCACAUUUUCCUCGAUCAUCGCAUUUUCAACGAGUAUGCUAUGUUUCACUUCUGCAUGGUCCCCCGCAGUUGACUACAUACUAACUGGAAAAGUUGAAAAUGUAUUUUUUGAGGGUGUUAAUAGAAAUAAGGACCAAGGUAUAGAUGACAAAGUGAGGUGUUUCAUAGCUGUAAUCCAUUCGGACACAACUGCUACAAAUGUUACCACACAGAGUGGCGAAUAUCACGAAUGUAGGAGCUUUGAGGCUUGUGAGUUUGCAGAAAAAAUGAAAAUGAUUGACAGGCCUGUCAAUAUGUGGGCAUUUAGCAAAGCGGUAGAUGCGAAGUAUAAUAAUAUUGUUAUUGGUAUUGAGGCUGCUGGUAAAGGCUCUAAAUUUCCAUCUGCUUUUUAGGUGUCAGUAAAUUAUUAAAUUUUUGAAAAUAAUUGUUUGAAAACCAAUAAAUGGAAUCAUCACAACAACUAUUUUCAAGUUCUUAAAAGUUGAAUGAACUACAAACAACGAUGAUAGUCCGAUAUUACAUGCAGCCCAAAAGUAAAAUAUCAAUGAACUCACACCAAAAUGAUUUUUUUGUGAAUUUGUCACUCCCCAUGCGGAGGUAUGUCUUGAAACAGUUGCAACAUGCCAGGAAGUGGUUGAGAAAUGGGACUAUGUAUUAGGGUGAGUGGAAAACCAACAUUGAUCUGAAAACUUGGCAAAAGAAAUGCAGUUGACCCCAUUAUUUGUUUAAAUUAGUGUUCCAUUUGGUCCAAAGAGGAAGAAGGGUCACUCAUUGAAGGCCAUGAAAGCGUUAGUUUUAACAGCAGUGUUCACCUUACACUUUCAUCUAUCAUCUGGAUUCAAUUCAUUUUUACAAAACUUGUCAUUUUUGAUACUUACAAUUUUAAUAUUUUUUCAAGGUUUAUUUUUGUUAGUCAAAUGUCUCUUUUACAGAAACAGUUUGUUGUGCAUGACCUUAUAUGGCAGUAUGAAGGAAUAAAAUGUCUUUAUUUUGCUGUA